CUGGCAGGGUCCGUGGCAAAGGCUGGAGCGGAAGAAAUUGGUCUCUGUGUCAGCUCCGAAGCCCUCUGAGCUGGUGGAGCACGCUCUGCGUGCCUGCCAUGCCGUGCUGCGGGGUGCUGGUGCCUCCCGUGCUGUGCCUGGGUGCUGGGAAAUCAGGCUUUAUAAUUUAUGCCUGCUUCCCUGGGAUGGUGUCUGUGAGCCAGCCGCCUCUGGUCCUGCCUGUGCAUGGGAAGGAAAGUGGAUGGCUUCCCAGGAGCUGGUUUACCUGUGGAUGGGGAGCCUCUUUGCACUGGCAGUUUGCUAAAAUCCUCGCGUUCCUGCUGCACGUCCUUCCCUCUCUGGCUGGGGAGAUGAUGCCGUGUGCUGUGGUCCCCUGUCCACAGGGCAGCUUUACCACAGAGGGGCCGUGCUGCAUAAGCUUCUCACUGCUGCGUGGCCGUGCAAGAGGAACAGGCAAGACCUCCAAGGAGGGAUGCAGUUGGGGUGAUGGAGGCUGCGAUGGAUGAUGCAGUGUCAGCGCUUUCAUAGCCAUCUAGACAGAGAGGUGUGAAGGGCACGCGGAUGCUGGCUGCACAUCAUGGAGCUGGGCUGGCGGGGCUGAGAUCAGAGGGAUGCUGCUGGCUGCGGGGGAGGAUGGACCCGGCGCUGCGGAUCGGUGGCGAUGAGACGCUGCGGCUGUCCAUUGUACAAGGAGCUGCUCACGUGGUUUCAGGCGAGCCAAAAUAUUCUUUCAGAAAGAGAACGGACCAGAUGUCUUAUUAUUGCUGCUCACAAUGCUGUCCUCCAAGUACAACGAUCCAUCAGGGGGCUCGGCACAGCCCUACAGAAAAGUCCCUGACACAUUUUUACAGCAGGGCCAGGUUCUCACCACUUGUGUGCAUUUGUACCCCUUGACAAAUAGCUGUUUGACUUCGGUUUUGUUCAAAGUCACGGCAGUGUCAAGCACAGGGCUCCUAUUCAAGUGCCCACCAACGGUGGUCCACAACUCGCUGUUUCCUCUUCUUUUCUUGCUUUGUUUUCCUAUGACAGUCACUUGGGAACUUUUUCUUUUUUUAUCUCAUAGGAGUUUUGAAAGACAGUUUUAAAGGAUUUAUCCACAGCAAACAGCCCUCUAAUAAGGACUGUAAAAAUGGCUUGGGAGUAUAUGGUGUGAGGAAUUCCUGUUUGCUGACAUGACACUUAAUUGCCUUUUUUUUUUUUUUUUUUGUA